rnacentral:rRNA from 1 species
CCUACGGGGGGCUGCAGUGGGGAAUAUUGCACAAUGGGCGCAAGCCUGAUGCAGCCAUGCCGCGUGUGUGAAGAAGGCCUUCGGGUUGUAAAGCACUUUCAGCGGGGAGGAAGGCGGUGAGGUUAAUAACCUCAUCGAUUGACGUUACCCGCAGAAGAAGCACCGGCUAACUCCGUGCCAGCAGCCGCGGUAAUACGGAGGGUGCAAGCGUUAAUCGGAAUUACUGGGCGUAAAGCGCACGCAGGCGGUCUGUCAAGUCGGAUGUGAAAUCCCCGGGCUCAACCUGGGAACUGCAUUCGAAACCGGCAGGCUAGAGUCUUGUAGAGGGGGGUAGAAUUCCAGGUGUAGCGGUGAAAUGCGUAGAGAUCUGGAGGAAUACCGGUGGCGAAGGCGGCCCCCUGGACAAAGACUGACGCUCAGGUGCGAAAGCGUGGGGAGCAAACAGGAUUAGAUACCCGUGUAGUC